rnacentral:lncRNA from 1 species
AAAUCUUUCGCCUUUUACUAAAGAUUUCCGUGGAGAGGAACAACUCUGAGUCUUAAACCAAUUUUUUGAGGCCUUGUUUCGGCAAGGCUACUUAUGUUGUGUUAAAAAGAAGAAUUUGUUUGUGUUAGUACUUGCUUUUUCUGUACAGCACCGAUGUUGUCGUACGACUGGGGUUGUACAUGUCAUGAACGAAGCCCCUGGCCCGGGCCGUGGAAACACUAGGUCUCAGGAAAUGCGGAAGGGAGCUGCAGAGGAAGGCAACGUCCCAUUGAGCGUCCUCAAGAGGAGCCAGUCGUCUGUGAGAAAAUGGAGGCAACAACGCAGUGGCGCCCUGCAGGGCCCUCCCUGCAUCUUCAGUAACAGGUGUGAUCUGCUCCACACAGGCGGAGGCAAAGGAGACAAGAACCCAGCUCAGACACACGCAGACACACACGCACGUGCACACUCGCCACAUUUGCUCCACACGCUGGAGGUUUGAGGCGACUUGUGCCUGCCACACCAAAGCCCCGCUGUCCAGCCAGGGCCUGCAGGCAGAACUGUGGAUGCUGCUCUCACAUGUUGACGUUGCCCGCGCCACUUCCCUGUGCAAGCAGCACCUCUAGGACACUAAGGACAGGGACCUCAGUGACAGCACCUCACUUUGGGUGUCUUGGGGGGUGAAGGGUGAAGGGGUCCCUCCCUGGUGCUCCGUGUGGGCAGAGCUGAGAAGGCAGCCCCAGAUGCUUGCUUCCCUCUGUUUCCUCAGAGCCCAAAUCAGCACUGUGUGGGGGCCAUGUCACCACAUAGCCAGAAUCACUGCCGCCCCCAGCCCUUGGCCCCCCACCCCAGGAUCCCACACCAGCAAGGCCCAGCUGCCUCUCCUUUCUGAGGCCCCUCCCAAGAUCCCUUUCUACGGGCAGCCCUGGGAUGGUCUCCAGAACACAUAGGAAUUCUAGUUACGCCCCCUUUCCAGAACAACUGGGUUGUUGUCUAGGAAGCCUCCUCCCUGUCACGGAGAAGCCUCUUGAUUCCCUCAAAGGUAGUUUUCCUCCUGAGGUGACACAGGGGACUUCUGACCCUUCCUCUUGAUGACGAGACCAAAAACCGCUCAGGUUCAGUCUCCCAGGACUCCUGUUAUCCUGUCAUCCUUCCCCUUCAUUCCGCAAACCUUCCCAAGACUCUCAUCGAAGGCACAGUUUACUAUUUCUUCUCCUGAACACCACAUACUGAGUGAGUUUUGCCACUGUGUUUAUCAAGCAAGAAUUUAGUCAUUUCCCAUUUGUAAUGAAUCAAGAGCAUAUUUGCCCACCAACUGGAGUUCUGAUCAGCAUGAGGAGACCAAAGCUGUCUCCCAGGACUGGGCUAACGCCGGCCCAAGGGGAGGGGGUCAAGGCCCAGCCGUGGGUGGACUGAAGCAGUUCCUGCCUCCGGGACCACCCUCCCCAGUGCUGAGUGUCCUCAGCCCCAGCCUGGGGACUGUUGGUCUAUGAUCUGCAGACUGUGAGGCAGACAAAAGUGUGGGCAGUGGGGUUGUGGCAAGAGCAUG